rnacentral:rRNA from 1 species
UACGGGGGGAGCAAGCGUUGUUCGGAUUUACUGGGCGUAAAGGGCGCGUAGGCGGUCAGCACAAGUCAGUUGUGAAAUCUCCGGGCUUAACUCGGAAAGGUCAACUGAUACUGUGCGACUAGAGUGCGGAAGGGGCAACUGGAAUUCUCGGUGUAGCGGCGAAAUGCGUAGAUAUCGAGAGGAACACCUGCGGCGAAGGCGGGUUGCUGGGCCGACACUGACGCUGAUGCGCGAAAGCCAGGGGAGCGAUCCGG